rnacentral:rRNA from 1 species
GUGGGGAAUAUUGGGCAAUGGGCGCAAGCCUGACCCAGCAACGCCGCGUGAAGGAAGAAGGCUUUCGGGUUGUAAACUUCUUUUACCAGGGACGAAACAAAUGACGGUACCUGGUGAAUAAGCCACGGCUAACUACGUGCCAGCAGCCGCGGUAAUACGUAGGUGGCGAGCGUUAUCCGGAUUUAUUGGGUGUAAAGGGCGUGUAGGCGGGACAGCAAGUCAGAUGUGAAAACCAGAGGCUCAACCUCUGGCCUGCAUUUGAAACUGUUGUUCUUGAGUGUCGGAGAGGUAAUCGGAAUUCCGUGUGUAGCGGUGAAGUGCGUAGAUAUACGGAGGAACACCAGUGGCGAAGGCGGAUUACUGGACGAUAACUGACGCUGAGGCGCGAAAGCGUGGGGAGCAAACAGGAUUAGAUACCCUAGUAGUCC